rnacentral:rRNA from 2 species
GGCAUCAGCUGGACGCAACGNGGAUCANUUAACACGCUGAGUUAACCUUGCCCUUUGACUUCUUGGGAUAAGCCAUUGGAAACGGGGUUCUAAUACUGGAUACGANACGCUCGGGCAUCCGAAGUGUCUGGAAAGAUUUAUCGGUCAGAGAUGGACUCGCGGCCUAUCAGCUUGUUGGUGGGGUAACGGCCUACCAAGGCGACGACGGGUANCCGGCCUGAGAGGGCGACCGGCCANACUGGGACUGAGACACGGCCCAGACUCCUACGGGAGGCAGCAGUGGGGAAUAUUGCACAAUGGGCGCAAGCCUGAUGCAGCGACGCCGCGUGAGGGAUGACGGCCUUCGGGUUGUAAACCUCUUUCAGCAGGGAAGAAGCGAAAGUGACGGUACCUGCAGAAGAAGCGCCGGCUAACUACGUGCCAGCAGCCGCGGUAAUACGUANGGGCGCAAGCGUUGUCCGGAAUUAUUGGGCGUAAAGAGCUCGUAGGCGGUUUGUCGCGUCUGCUGUGAAAACUCGAGGCUCAACCUCGGGCCUGCAGUGGGUACGGGCAGACUAGAGUGCGGUAGGGGAGACUGGAAUUCCUGGUGUAGCGGUGGAAUGCGCAGAUAUCAGGAGGAACACCGAUGGCGAAGGCAGGUCUCUGGGCCGCAACUGACGCUGAGGAGCGAAAGCAUGGGGAGCGAACAGGAUUAGAUACCCUGGUAGUCCAUGCCGUAAACGUUGGGCACUAGGUGUGGGGCUCAUUCCACGAGUUCCGUGCCGCAGCAAACGCAUUAAGUGCCCCGCCUGGGGAGUACGGCCSCAAGGCUAAAACUCAAAGAAAUUGACGGGGGCCCGCACAAGCGGCGGAGCAUGCGGAUUAAUUCGAUGCAACGCGAAGAACCUUACCAAGGCUUGACAUACACCGGAAACUUCCAGAGAUGGUUGCCCCGCAAGGUCGGUGUACAGGUGGUGCAUGGUUGUCGUCAGCUCGUGUCGUGAGAUGUUGGGUUAAGUCCCGCAACGAGCGCAACCCUCGUCCUAUGUUGCCAGCGGGUUAUGCCGGGGACUCAUAGGAGACUGCCGGGGUCAACUCGGAGGAAGGUGGGGAUGACGUCAAAUCAUCAUGCCCCUUAUGUCUUGGGCUUCACGCAUGCUACAAUGGCCGGUACAAAGGGCUGCGAUACCGCAAGGUGGAGCGAAUCCCAAAAAGCCGGUCUCAGUUCGGAUUGGGGUCUGCAACUCGACCCCAUGAAGUCGGAGUCGCUAGUAAUCGCAGAUCAGCAACGCUGCGGUGAAUACGUUCCCGGGCCUUGUACACACCGCCCGUCAAGUCACGAAAGUCGGUAACACCCGAAGCCGGUGGCCCAACCCUUGUG